GCCAGGAAGAGGAAGAAAGAGAGAACCUCAGAAUUGUAGGAAUGAGAACAUGAAGGAAAGCUUAAGCACUAGUGUCCCCUCUAAUAUUGGAGGUGGAAGCUUAGUUUCAUGUUAUCCUGAUGCCUCUCAUUCCUAUGGUUCUUAGUGCUCCUUCCUCUCCCUAUAGGCU
rnacentral:pre_miRNA from 1 species